UUUCCGUAGGUGAACCUGCGGAAGGAUCAUUCAUAAUAAAGUGUUUUAUGGCACUUUUUAAAAAUCCAUAUCCACCGUGUGUGCAAUGUUAGAUCUCGUCAAUCAUGGCGAGAGUUUUAUACAUCAACUCAUACUUUAACUAAUUUGUCUGAAAAAUAUAAUGAAUACUUAAAUCAAAAUACAACUUUCAACAACGGAUCUCUUGGCUCUCGCAUCGACGAAGAACGCAGC
rnacentral:misc_RNA from 1 species